CCUACGGGUGGCUGCAGUGGGGAAUAUUGCACAAUGGGCGCAAGCCUGAUGCAGCCAUGCCGCGUGUGUGAAGAAGGCCUUCGGGUUGUAAAGCACUUUCAGCGGGGAGGAAGGCGGUGAGGUUAAUAACCUCAUCGAUUGACGUUACCCGCAGAAGAAGCACCGGCUAACUCCGUGCCAGCAGCCGCGGUAAUACGGAGGGUGCAAGCGUUAAUCGGAAUUACUGGGCGUAAAGCGCACGCAGGCGGUCUGUCAAGUCGGAUGUGAGAUCCCCGGGCUCAACCUGGGAACUGCAUUCGAAACUGGCAGGCUAGAGUCUUGUAGAGGGGGGUAGAAUUCCAGGUGCAGCGGUGAAAUGCGUAGAGAUCUGGAGGAAUACCGGUGGCGAAGGCGGCCCCCUGGACAAAGACUGACGCUCAGGUGCGAAAGCGUGGGGAGCAAACAGGAUUAGAUACCCGUGUAGUC
rnacentral:rRNA from 1 species